AGAAAAAACUAGGAGUAAAGUAGGGCUGCUAACCUUGCUUUGGGUAAAUCAACACUAUCCUUUUUCUU
rnacentral:tRNA from 1 species